rnacentral:rRNA from 1 species
UACGGGGGGAGCAAGCGUUGUUCGGAUUUACUGGGCGUAAAGGGCGCGUAGGCGGUCAGCACAAGUCAGUUGUGAAAUCUCCGAGCUUAACUCGGAAAGGUCAACUGAUACUGUGCGACUAGAGUGCAGAAGGGGCAACUGGAAUUCUCGGUGUAGCGGUGAAAUGCGUAGAUAUCGAGAGGAACACCUGCGGCGAAGGCGGCUCUCUGGGACGGUACUGACGCUGAGACGCGAAAGCGUGGGGAGCGAACAGG